GAUGAAGAACGUAGCGAAAUGCGAUAAGUAAUGCGAAUUGCAGAAUUUCCGUGAGUCAUCGAAUCUUUGAACGCACAUUGCGCCCAUUGGCAUUCCGAUGGGCAUGCCUGUUCGAGCGUCAUUAUCCUCCCUCAAACCCCUGGGUUUGGUGUUGGACUGUGUGGUGCCUGGCACCACUGGUCUCAAAGACAAUGACGGCGUCCGUGGGACCCUCGGUGCAACGAGCUUUUCGAAGCACGCGUCGAGUGGACAGUCUCUCCGGGCCGGUCACCUCUCCAAUUUUUCUCAGGUUGACCUCGGAUCAGGUAGGAAUACCCGCUGAACUUAAGCAUAUCAAUAACGGAGGA
rnacentral:misc_RNA from 1 species